rnacentral:rRNA from 1 species
GACGUAGGGCGCGAGCGUUGUCCGGAUUUAUUGGGCGUAAAGAGCUCGUAGGCGGCUUGUCGCGUCGAAUGUGAAAACCCACGGCUCAACUGUGGGCUUGCAUUCGAUACGGGCAGGCUAGAGUUCGGUAGGGGAGACUGGAAUUCCUGGUGUAGCGGUGAAAUGCGCAGAUAUCAGGAGGAACACCGGUGGCGAAGGCGGGUCUCUGGGCCGAUACUGACGCUGAGGAGUGAAAGCGUGGGGAGCGAACAGG